GCAAUUUUCUGCAUAUCAGCUAUACCAUUAACUCUUCCUUGUGCUGUCUACUGCAUAUUCCCUUGCAGCAGUCCUCAAUAUUUAUCAACUUUUUUUUUUUUUUUUUAAUUAAGCCAUGGCAUACUAUUCUGGGUGACUAGAAUUUAACUGGCCUUCAUUCUAUACCCAGAAAACACUUUAAUCCAUCUUCAGUUAUUGCUUAUUCCGCCAGCUGAUAACAUACAUAUGUGUAUGUGGAUAUAUAUGGUAAAGACAAACAGUAAUGACCAUUUAGUCUGUAGCAAAAAACAGUAAAGUUCAAAUUCACUGAUCAGAUAAGUUAAAAUAAGUACAUUUUUGACAGUGAGACAUUAGAUGACAAAGCAGUUCAAACCAAAAUCUGAGAUCAGCCUGAUGGGCUAGCUAAAGAUAACAAAAAAGAGUGGUCAUCUCAGACCACUUCCUAAAAACGCUGUAUUCAACAAAUGCCAAUUCAGCUGAGAGAUUAACAAACAAUUGACACAACCAACAUUCUCUGCACAGAGCUACACUAACCUGCUGACUGUAUUUCCUACCACAGGCCUCAGAGAGCAGGAUGGUUCACAGAAGAAUUAGUGCGUGGGAAACCUUGCAUUGUGGCGCAGGUGGCUUCACUCUUUUUAGGCUCUAGGGAGUUUAGGAAAGGGCUGCUCACCUUGCUGGGACUUCAGAGGACAGAAGACAACUGCCGUCUUGGAUACUUUCAAAUCGAUCUCUGCCUGGCUUAUAUUGAUUUUUAACUUGCAAAACUCAACCAAGCUCCCAAUGAGCACAAGUAUGCCUAUGUGAGGCUUUGCAAGAACAUAACACCAGAGGUGGAAGCAGAGUGAGGACAAAGCAAGAAGCUGUGGUGCUGUUACAGGAGCAAACCAACGUCCUGAAUAUGGGGCUUCAUUACCCAGAGCUCCAUUAACUCCUGCUGAGUAAAUAACCACCUGGCACACAGACAGAGUGCUUUCUCAGUCUGUUUAUUGGAAUUCUCUUUUGAGGGGAGGGGAAAGGAGAGUGGGGCUAUGAAUCUGAACUCAGAAGGUAACUAAAUAAAUCCAGUAUAUUCUUCCUAAAUAUAGAGUUA
rnacentral:lncRNA from 1 species